UACGUAGGGGGCAAGCGUUGUCCGGAAUCAUUGGGCGUAAAGAGCGUGUAGGCGGCCAGGUAGGUCCGUUGUGAAAACUGGAGGCUUAACCUCCAGCUGUCGAUGGAAACCAUCUGGCUAGAGUCCGGAAGAGGCGAGUGGAAUUCCUGGUGUAGCGGUGAAAUGCGCAGAUAUCAGGAGGAACACCAAUGGCGAAGGCAGCUCGCUGGGACGGUACUGACGCUGAGACGCGAAGCGUGGGGAGCAAACAGG
rnacentral:rRNA from 1 species